rnacentral:lncRNA from 1 species
UGGGCUCUGCUCGUGAAAAAACACCAACAGAACCAAAUCAAUUUCUUUAUUUAUUUUUCUCCAUCCUUAGGCACAUUAAACAAGAUAAAGUUGGGUUACAUGAUUUAUUUAUUUAUGAGUAGUAAGAUCAAAAGAUUAAGCAUUUAAUGUAGCAUUUAAGUUCACAUGAUAGAAAAGAAUGUGUUGAUGCAAAAGCUGAUCUGCAAACACAAAUUGCUUAACCAAUGGAA